rnacentral:tRNA from 1 species
AAGCAAGAAACUACAAAGUAUUAUGGUUUCGGCCCAAAAACAGGUAUACCUAUACCCUUGCUUU